rnacentral:rRNA from 1 species
UACGAAGGGGGCUAGCGUUGCUCGGAAUCACUGGGCGUAAAGCGCACGUAGGCGGCUUGCUAAGUCAGGGGUGAAAUCCUGGAGCUCAACUCCAGAACUGCCUUUGAUACUGGCGACCUUGAGUCCGGGAGAGGUGAGUGGAACUGCGAGUGUAGAGGUGAAAUUCGUAGAUAUUCGCAAGAACACCAGUGGCGAAGGCGGCUUACUGGUCCGGUUCUGACGCUGAGGCGCGAAAGCGUGGGGAGCAAACAGG